rnacentral:rRNA from 1 species
UACGUAGGGUGCAAGCGUUGUCCGGAAUUAUUGGGCGUAAAGAGCUCGUAGGCGGUGUGUCGCGUCGGGCGUGAAAACCUGCAGCUUAACUGUGGGCUUGCGGUCGAUACGGGCAUCACUGGAGUUCGGCAGGGGAGACUGGAAUUCCUGGUGUAGCGGUGAAAUGCGCAGAUAUCAGGAGGAACACCGGUGGCGAAGGCGGGUCUCUGGGCCGAUACUGACGCUGAGGAGCGAAAGCGUGGGGAGCGAACAGG